rnacentral:rRNA from 1 species
GAUGAACGCUGGCGGCGUGCCUAAUACAUGCAAGUCGAGCGAACAGACGAGGAGCUUGCUCCUCUGACGUUAGCGGCGGACGGGUGAGUAACACGUGGAUAACCUACCUAUAAGACUGGGAUAACUUCGGGAAACCGGAGCUAAUACCGGAUAAUAUAUUGAACCGCAUGGUUCAAUAGUGAAAGACGGUUUUGCUGUCACUUAUAGAUGGAUCCGCGCCGCAUUAGCUAGUUGGUAAGGUAACGGCUUACCAAGGCAACGAUGCGUAGACGACCUCAGAGGGGGGUCGGCCACAUGGGAAGGUAGACGCGGUCAAGACUCCUAAGGGAGGCAGCAGACGGGAAUCUGCCGCAAUGGGCGAAAACCUUGCGGAGCAACGCCGCGUGAGUGACGAAGGUCUUGGGAGCGUAAAACUCUGUUAUUAGGGAAGAACAAAUGUGUAAGUAACUAUGCACGUCUUGACGGUACCUAAUCAGAAAGCCACGGCUAACUACGUG